rnacentral:rRNA from 1 species
CCUACGGGGGGCUGCAGUGAGGAAUAUUGGUCAAUGGACGAGAGUCUGAACCAGCCAAGUAGCGUGAAGGAUGACUGCCCUAUGGGUUGUAAACUUCUUUUAUAAAGGAAUAAAACGAGGCACGUGUGCCUUUUUGCAUGUACUUUAUGAAUAAGGAUCGGCUAACUCCGUGCCAGCAGCCGCGGUAAUACGGAGGAUCCGAGCGUUAUCCGGAUUUAUUGGGUUUAAAGGGAGCGUAGAUGGGUUGUUAAGUCAGUUGUGAAAGUUUGCGGCUCAACCGUAAAAUUGCAAUUGAUACUGGCAGUCGUGAGUACAGUUGAGGUAGGCGGAAUUCGUGGUGUAGCGGUGAAAUGCUUAGAUAUCACGAAGAACUCCGAUUGCGAAGGCAGCUUACUAAACUGCCACUGACAUUGAUGCUCGAAAGUGUGGGUAUCAAACAGGAUUAGAUACCCUGGUAGUC